ensembl:lncRNA
UUUUUUUUAACAACUUUUUAGUACAUCACGAACUCAUUCCGAUUGCAUGAACGUGAACGUUUUUAUUCCGUUGUUUUUUAUGUAACACUCCGUAGAAAGUGGCUGCAGCCAGAAGAACAGUCGCCAUCAGCACUGGGUUACUCAAGAGAGCGGAGGAACCCCUCCAGUGAGUUUCAUAAUUAGGUUGUGUAAGGGCACGUUGACGUAUGAGGGCUUUGGAAGCCAGCGGGCUACAAAUGCAGUUCCUUGCUGCACUGAAACCAUUGAUUUAACCCCAAACUCGGACUGUGAACCAACCAUGAAAACGAACAGGGCGAAAGUAAUUGGAAGUCAAGUCAUUUCAGCCGAACUUGUGGCAGGACUACUACUCAGCAUUGCGUAUAGGAUGUGUUCCAGUUUGGCCUUUUCCUCAGAGGGGGAAGGCGUCAAUGACGAAGGCGCGCACUUUGAAGUAACGCGCUCACUCGUGUGUGUGUGGGUUGCCAGUAAUGUUAAGUUCAUUUUCUUCAAAAGCAACAACCAUCCUCUUUCUCUUUCUGCUCAUUCCAUCUCAAGGCUUGUGGCCUUCCUUUCAUUGUUGGGAGUCUGCAGAGAGGCACACAUUCAAGGAAGAGAUCGCAGACAUCUUCCCAUGGUGGAUGUGGCGGUGUUCUUAUUCUUUUUUCUAAGCAGUUUGAUUCUUUUGAUCUUGGAUCACAAUCAGUUGAAAGACUCUUUGAAACGAUCUGAACUGCUCACUAAGCCCCAGAGGUUUUUCCUUCAAAUAGAUUUUUUUGCCAACUUCAUUUGUGGCCUCAUGUGGUUGGUUUUUCCAAGAUGGCUUCUUGGGUCACAGAUUAAUGGAUCUGAGGAUCAUAUUUAUCUCACCCGUGCAUUUGGAGCCAUGAUGGUCGGAGACAGCUUUGCUUCUUUUACCACUCAGAAGAAAAUGGGAACCAAUGAGGUAUCUGUCUUCAGUAGCCGGGCUGUGGGAACUUUGACAGUUGUCAUCUUCAUGAUCCACACCCAGCUCACCACAUGGGCCUGGAAAACCCCACAUCUCUGUCUGGGCCUAGUAGGGGUCAGUCUCUGGGCUGGCAGCUCCAUCCUUGGCUACCUGAGCUUCAAAGACACGAGGACAGACUCAGUGAACAAUAUAUACUGGCGUGCUGUACAGAGAAAAGACAGAAGACUUUAUGUACAAUAGAUAUUUUGUUUAUAUGCAUAUAUAUUAUGACAUCACUGUGUGCAUUUUGAUGCUUUUUGAUGUUUUUGUUAAACUAUUUAUACUGUAAAAUAGUUGUUUUAUGAAUAUUACAUAGAUUUAUUUCUUUGUAAAUAAUGGUUCUUUUUAAUUUAUACUUGAAUAUUGUAAACAAUUUGAAAAUAUCACUUUCAAUAUGCAAUGUAGAUAUGCAAAUAAAGUUGUCUGGUGACUUGAAUGGCA